UUAACAAAAUUGAUGGCAAUUUGAAUGGUAAUGCUAAAAUCUGCCACCUGUGGUGGGCUGACUCACACAGGCUAAUGGUAGGGCAUUUAGUCCUGCCCAAAUGCAGCUCAUUUAAGACAAUGACAUAUUUUCUGCUUAUACUAACCAUUGUAAAUAUAAAUAUUAAACUUUAUACAGUACAGCUCUCAAUGCAUGAUGUGUUCAGGGAGACACAUUAUGUGUUCGAGGUCAGACAAGCUAGGGUGACAGUCCCAGUAUUCUUCUGUGUAGAAGCUUUGAUAGAUGUUUAUUUUCUUUCAAGCUUGAUGGGCAUGUCAGGAAGGCAUCAGGAAAUUAAGUGCACUGUAAAAUCUUUCGUGUCCUUGCUUGGAAAUGUAUUGCCGUGGAAGCAUCCGUUGGAAAGUGGGGGAAAGCAAUGCAAACACAUUUGUGGAGACAUGCUCACAUGCUUCCCUCUUUUGUCAGUAUAUCAGGCACAGUGGAAUCAUUACAUGUGUUUCUGUUGUUUGGAGCUCUGCAGGGUCACGACACAUCCUUCAAACCUUUUUUUGUUUCCUGAUCGAUGGAGAUGCAGCCACAGUGGAGUGUAAAAUGAUAUUCAUGUAUCUUUUGCCAAGAAAGAAGGGGAGACGAGAGGAAGGAGCUUUGCGAUAAGAGAAAUCAGAACAAGAUUGCUUUUGAUAAAAGAUUGAUGAAGAGGCAUCCAGAGCUUGCAAGAGAAAACAUUUGUGAAAACAAUUGAUGUCAGGAGCUUUGAUAAGACAUGCAAAAAUUUUCAUUUUAAUAUUUAUUGCUUGUUUGGAAAUUGAUAGGCAGCUGCCGCAUGAUGAGGUCAUGAAAGGGUGGUACAUGGGGGCAGUCCAAGACAGAGGCAAAGUAUAGUAUGAUGCCCUCCCCCAUAUGUGGGUGGGAGCUCAUCAUUCUCAGGCCAUGCUUCCAAGGCAGUGGUGGUAACACGUGGGCACUCCUAGUCUAAGACAGGAAAUGGUGAUAGAGUGUCACGCCCUCACUCUCAGAUAGUGAGAAGGAAGGGGAUGCUGACAGCCCUUCAGCUGAUACAGGGGUGCCUGAGGGGCAGAGCCAGGCUGUCGGUUCCCAAGAGAUGGCUGAGGCAGGUCCGACUGAUGUCUCAGAGCAGGCACAGCAGUCUGAGGCAGCAGUGACAGGGACUGACGAACCGGAGGAUGAGCUGUGCAGGCAACCCCCACUGACUCCACAGCAGAGACGGGUCACAAGACGGCAGGCACAUUUGGAAUCCAUCAGGAGAAGUAAGCGCUUCUUGCAGAGGGCUGAUAAGCCUUGAAUCCUUGCCAGCUGAGAGUUAUCAGCUUGGACUAUAAAGCACAUCUACAGCUUGCACUUAGCCGCUGGAAGACAACAUAUGUCAUCCCUAGUGUCGACAGUCUUCAGCCUGAGCCAGGGAGAGAGACAUUUUCGAGCCGUGUUUCGCUUCUGCAAUCCAGACUGGUCUUUUGUUAACCAUCAUCCUAGACUUCCCUACCAGGUGGCCACAUUGCUAACAGAGAGAAAUUCCUAGCUCACUUUGGGCAGUGGGGAGAAGAAAAAAAGAGGUCCACAAGGAGGAGAAAAUGAAUAUGCCCCAGUGGGAUGAAGAAAGGCAGUGGCAAUGGGUGGCCAGGAGGCCCAUGUCUGAUGUCCAUGGUGGUGGGGGCUGGUACUUUCUGUCCACUGUACUGUUUCUUAAGCCCAUACCUGAGCCUGCCACCUCAGUUUGCCUCCUGGAAGGGCUACCCCAGCUGUAUAUAAAUUAACUAAUAAAUAAAAUGUUAACAGACA